AACUGACGCUCAGUCCCGAAAGCGUGGGGAGCAAAUAGGAUUAGAUACCCUAGUAGUCCACGCCGUAAACGAUGAGUACUAAGUGUUGGAUGUCAAAGUUCAGUGCUGCAGUUAACGCAAUAAGUACUCCGCCUGAGUAGUACGUUCGCAAGAAUGAAACUCAAAGGAAUUGACGGGGGCCCGCACAAGCGGUGGAGCAUGUGGUUUAAUUCGAAGCAACGCGAAGAACCUUACCAGGUCUUGACAUACUCAUAAAGGCUCCAGAGAUGGAGAGAUAGCUAUAUGAGAUACAGGUGGUGCAUGGUUGUCGUCAGCUCGUGUCGUGAGAUGUUGGGUUAAGUCCCGCAACGAGCGCAACCCUUAUCGUUAGUUACCAUCAUUAAGUUGGGGACUCUAGCGAGACUGCCAGUGACAAGCUGGAGGAAGGCGGGGAUGACGUCAAAUCAUCAUGCCCCUUAUGACCUGGGCUACACACGUGCUACAAUGGAUGGUGCAGAGGGAAGCGAAGCCGCGAGGUGAAGCAAAACCCAUAAAACCAUUCUCAGUUCGGAUUGUAGUCUGCAACUCGACUACAUGAAGUUGGAAUCGCUAGUAAUCGCGAAUCAGCAUGUCGCGGUGAAUACGUUCUCGGGCCUUGUACACACCGCCCGUCACACCACGAGAGUUGAUAACACCCGAAGCCGGUGGCCUAACCGCAAGGAAGGAGCUGUCUAAGGUGGGAUUGAUGAUUGGGGUGAAGUCGUAACAAGGUAACCGUA
rnacentral:rRNA from 1 species